rnacentral:rRNA from 1 species
UACGGAGGGUGCGAGCGUUGUCCGGAAUCACUGGGCGUAAAGGGCGCGUAGGCGGCCUGAUAAGUAGGGGGGUGAAAUCCUGCGGCUUAACCGCAGGGCUGCCUUCUAAACUGUCAGGCUCGAGCACAGUAGAGGCAGGUGGAAUUCCCGGUGUAGCGGUGGAAUGCGUAGAGAUCCGGAAGAACACCGGUGGCGAAGGCGGCCUGCUGGGCAGUAGCUGACACUGAGGCGCGACAGCGUGGGGAGCAAACAGG